GCGCCCGUAGCUCAGGCGGAUAGAGCAACUGCCUUCUAAGCAGUGGGUCGGGGGUUCGAGUCCCUCCGGGCGCACCA
rnacentral:tRNA from 3 species